rnacentral:lncRNA from 1 species
GUAACCAUACUCUAGCCUGGGAGCUGAGGGGAAUUGGGGCGGGGCAGGGAAGUAUGUGCAAAUAUUACUUUUCAGCAAAGACUGAAGUGUUGAAAAAAAAAAGAGGACAUUCUAAUUGAGACUGUAUUUGUGGAUGAAUGUAAGAAAAAUGGAAUAAGACUCAUGGGGCCUAAUGUAAUUUACAUCCAGGGACACAGAAAAAGUAUCUCUCAAAUAAAUGUUGAACAGGUAGUGGGAAAAGAAAACAGAAGUGCAUUCUGAUCACUUUGUUUAAUAUGCCAGGUAUAUAUAGUAACUUUCUCCUUAUAAAGUCAUCUUUGGGCUAACUUUACAGAGUGUUUUAUAUGAUUUCAUAGAAUUUAGAGAGUAUAUUAUUAAAAGCAUCCAGUGAGAGUUUUAUGUUACUGGUUUUUAAUAAGAUGUUAAGAAUAAUUGUAUUAGAAUGUGCUUCGCCUUACUUUCUUUGUCAGAUGUACCCAAAGUAGCCACUAUUUAUAGAAGAUGCAUCAUAACCACUAUUGUCUAUUUUCACAUUCAUUAUAGCUUCCUCUUACUUGAUUAUACAAAUUGCUAUUGCCUAUACUGCACUCAGAGAUAAUUGCUCUAAUUUUUUUCAAACAUGCCAGAAGUGGACAUGGUUUCCAGUUGUACUAAAUAGGUGAGAAGCUGAAGUCUAUAUGCAGCAAUUGCAGAAUUUGAGCAGCUUCACUAAGAACUGCGUCUCCUGCAUCAAAACCAAUAAUAUUUUGUCUAAAGCAACAGGCAAACCCUCUGUUUGAUUUGCCUUAGCAACUGCACCCUGUCAGGUGCUCCUGAACCAAAAUUCGAAUUGCCUUAGACAUUACCAGGUAAUCAU